rnacentral:rRNA from 1 species
UACGGGGGGGGGCAAGCGUUGUCCGGAAUCAUUGGGCGUAAAGCGCGCGUAGGCGGCCCGGUAAGUCCGCUGUGAAAGUCCAGGGCUCAACCCUGGAAAGCCGGUGGAUACUGCCGUGCUUGAGGACUGGAGAGGAGACUGGAAUUCCUGGUGUAGCGGUGGAAUGCGCAGAUAUCAGGAGGAACACCGGUGGCGAAGGCGGGUCUCUGGGCAGUAACUGACGCUGGAGGAGCGAAAGCGUGGGGAGCGAACAGG